UACAGAGGUCCCAAGCGUUGUUCGGAUUCACUGGGCGGAAAGGGCUCGUAGGCGGCCAACUAAGUCAGACGUGAAAUCCCUCGGCUUAACCGGGGAACUGCGUCUGAUACUGGAUGGCUUGAGUUUGGGAGAGGGAUGCGGAAUUCCAGGUGUAGCGGUGAAAUGCGUAGAUAUCUGGAGGAACACCGGUGGCGAAGGCGGCAUCCUGGACCAACACUGACGCUGAGUGAGCGAAAGCCAGGGGAGCAAACGGG
rnacentral:rRNA from 1 species